rnacentral:rRNA from 1 species
AACGAACGCUGGCGGCAGGCUUAACACAUGCAAGUCGAACGGAUCCUUCGGGAUUAGUGGCAGACGGGUGAGUAACGCGUGGGAACGUACCCUUUGCUACGGAAUAACUCAGGGAAACUUGAGCUAAUACCGUAUGUGCCCUACGGGGGAAAGAUUUAUCGGCAAAGGAUCGGCCCGCGUUGGAUUAGCUAGUUGGUGGGGUAAUGGCCUACCAAGGCGACGAUCCAUAGCUGGUCUGAGAGGAUGAUCAGCCACACUGGGACUGAGACACGGCCCAGACUCCUACGGGAGGCAGCAGUGGGGAAUAUUGGACAAUGGGCGCAAGCCUGAUCCAGCCAUGCCGCGUGAGUGAUGAAGGUCUUAGGAUUGUAAAGCUCUUUCACCGGUGAAGAUAAGGACGGGAGCCGGAGAAGAAGCCCCGGCUAACUUCGU